AUGAACGCACGCGACCUCCUCUUCUCCGGCGUCGACAUCGUCAAGCAACAGGCGAGCGCCGUGGCCUCCACCGUCUCGCUGGCCAAGCCGUACCUCCCGGCAAAGCUAACCGAGAUGAACACGGGCAACAUCGUCGCCGGUCUCGGCUACGUCAAGAACCAUACAGGAGCGGCCGUGGCCUCCACCGUUUCGUUGGCCAAGCCGUACCUCCCAGCAAGGCUUACCGGGAUGAACACCGGCGACAUCGUCGCAGGUCUCGGCUACGUCAAGAACCAUACGGGAGCGGCCAUGGUCUCCACCGUCUCGUUGGCCAAGCCGUACCUGCCCGCAAAGCUCUCCACGCGGGACGGUGCCGUGGGAACCGCGGCGAUGGUCAUCGGGGGCGCCGUGGGCGCCUACUUCCUCUGGCCCGCUGCGGCCGCCCCCGCCGCGGCCGGCGCCAUGAUGAAGGCGCCUGGUGCCGCCGGCUUCCUCAUCUCCCGCACGGCGUUCCUGGCCAACCCGCAGGUCUACUACCAGAUCCUCCGCACCGCUGGCGCCGCGGCGGCCGCCGCCGCUUUCGUGUAG
rnacentral:rRNA from 1 species